rnacentral:rRNA from 1 species
GAUGAACGCUGGCGGCGUGCCUAAUACAUGCAAGUCGAGCGAACAGACGAGGAGCUUGCUGCUCUGACGUUAGCGGCGGACGGGUGAGUAACACGUGGAUAACCUACCUAUCAGACUGGGAUAACUUCGGGAAACCGGCGCUAAUACCGGAUAAUCUAUUGAACCGCAUGGUUCAAUAGUGAAAGACGGUUUUGCUGUCACUUAUAGAUGGAUCCGCGCCGCAUUAGCUAGUUGGUAAGGUAACGGCUUACCAAGGCGACGAUGCGUAGCCGACGUGAGAGGGUGAUCGGCCACACGGGAGCUGAGACACGGACCAGACUCCUACGGGAGGCAGCAGUAGGGAAUCUGCCGCAAUGGGCGAAAGCUUGACGGAGCAACGCCGCGUGAGUGAUGAAGGUCUUCGGAUCGUAAAACUCUGUUAUUGGGGAAGAACAAAUGUGUAAGUAACUAUGCACGGCUUGACGGUACCUAAUCAGAAAGCCACGGCUAACUACGUG